CCUACGGGGGGCAGCAGUGGGGAAUUUUGGACAAUGGGGGCAACCCUGAUCCAGCCAUGCCGCGUGAGUGAAGAAGGCCUUCGGGUUGUAAAGCUCUUUCGGCCGGGAAGAAAUCGUGCAGGCUAAUACCCUGCAUGGAUGACGGUACCGGAAUAAGAAGCACCGGCUAACUACGUGCCAGCAGCCGCGGUAAUACGUAGGGUGCGAGCGUUAAUCGGAAUUACUGGGCGUAAAGCGUGCGCAGGCGGUUUUGUAAGACAGGCGUGAAAUCCCCGGGCUCAACCUGGGAACUGCGCUUGUGACUGCAAGACUAGAGUACGGCAGAGGGGGGUGGAAUUCCACGUGUAGCAGUGAAAUGCGUAGAGAUGUGGAGGAACACCAAUGGCGAAGGCAGCCCCCUGGGUCGAUACUGACGCUCAUGCACGAAAGCGUGGGGAGCAAACAGGAUUAGAUACCCUGGUAGUC
rnacentral:rRNA from 1 species